UACGGGGGGGGCAAGCGUUGUUCGGAAUUACUGGGCGUAAAGGGCUUGUAGGUGGCCAACUAAGUCAGACGUGAAAUCCCUCGGCUUAACCGGGGAACUGCGUCUGAUACUGGAUGGCUAGAGUGUGGGAGAGGGAUGCGGAAUUCCAGGUGUAGCGGUGAAAUGCGUAGAUAUCUGGAGGAACACCGGUGGCGAAGGCGGCAUCCUGGACCAACACUGACACUGAGGAGCGAAAGCCAGGGGAGCAAACGGG
rnacentral:rRNA from 1 species